rnacentral:rRNA from 1 species
ACUCCGGGAAACCGGGGCUAAUACCGGAUGGUUGUUUGAACCGCAUGGUUCAGACAUAAAAGGUGGCUUCGGCUACCACUUACAGAUGGACCCGCGGCGCAUUAGCUAGUUGGUGAGGUAACGGCUCACCAAGGCGACGAUGCGUAGCCGACCUGAGAGGGUGAUCGGCCACACUGGGACUGAGACACGGCCCAGACUCCUACGGGAGGCAGCAGUAGGGAAUCUUCCGCAAUGGACGAAAGUCUGACGGAGCAACGCCGCGUGAGUGAUGAAGGUUUUCGGAUCGUAAAGCUCUGUUGUUAGGGAAGAACAAGUGCCGUUCAAAUAGGGCGGCACCUUGACGGUACCUAACCAGAAAGCCACGGCUAACUACGUGCCAGCAGCCGCGGUAAUACGUAGGUGGCAAGCGUUGUCCGGAAUUAUUGGGCGUAAAGGGCUCGCAGGCGGUUUCUUAAGUCUGAUGUGAAAGCCCCCGGCUCAACCGGGGAGGGUCAUUGGAAACUGGGGAACUUGAGUGCAGAAGAAGAGAGUGGAAUUCCACGUGUAGCGGUGAAAUGCGUAGAGAUGUGGAGGAACACCAGUGGCGAAAGCGAAUCUCUGGUCUGUNNNNNNNNNNNNNNNNNNNNNNNGUGGGGAGCGAACAGGAUUAGAUACCCUGGUAGUCCACGCCGUAAACGAUGAGUGCUAAGUGUUAGGGGGUUUCCGCCCCUUAGUGCUGCAGCUAACGCAUUAAGCACUCCGCCUGGGGAGUACGGUCGCAAGACUGAAACUCAAAGGAAUUGACGGGGGCCCGCACAAGCGGUGGAGCAUGUGGUUUAAUUCGAAGCAACGCGAAGAACCUUACCAGGUCUUGACAUCCUCUGACAAUCCUAGAGAUAGGACGUCCCCUUCGGGGGCAGAGUGACAGGUGGUGCAUGGUUGUCGUCAGCUCGUGUCGUGAGAUGUUGGGUUAAGUCCCGCAACGAGCGCAACCCUUGAUCUUAGUUGCCAGCAUUCAGUUGGGCACUCUAAGGUGACUGCCGGUGACAAACCGGAGGAAGGUGGGGAUGACGUCAAAUCAUCAUGCCCCUUAUGACCUGGGCUACACACGUGCUACAAUGGGCAGAACAAAGGGCAGCGAAACCGCGAGGUUAAGCCAAUCCCACAAAUCUGUUCUCAGUUCGGAUCGCAGUCUGCAACUCGACUGCGUGAAGCUGGAAUCGCUAGUAAUCGCGGAUCAGCAUGCCGCGGUGAAUAUGUAACCGGGCCUUGUACACAUCGCCCGUCACACC